UCCGUAGGCGGGCAAUUAAGUCAGAGGUGAAAUCCUGCAGCUCAACUGUAGAAUUGCCUUUGAUACUGGUUAUCUUGAGUCAUUAUGAAGUGGUUAGAAUGUGUAGUGUAGCGGUGAAAUGCAUAGAUAUUACACAGAAUACCGAUUGCGAAGGCAGAUCACUAAUAAUGUACUGACACUGAGGGACGAAAGCGUGGGGAGCGAACAGGAUUAGAUACCCUGGUAGUCC
rnacentral:rRNA from 1 species